rnacentral:tRNA from 1 species
ACCUGGAUAGCUCAGUAGGUUGAGCGUCUGACUUCAGCUCAGGUCAUGAACUCCGGGUC